AUAACCCUGCAGUUCCACAAUCGCUACCGAAAAACAUCACAAAAUCAUGGCCACUCCAGCAGAGCCAAAUGCUUCGACUGCAAUGUCGAUGCUCUCCGGACUAUCUCGCGCGCAUUAAUUAAUAGAUUAAAGCGAUGAAAAUGCAAUGAUUAAGUAAAUGAUAACCAUAAUGAUGAAAUUUGAAGCAAAUUCAUCACUUCUCCAUUUAAAACAAACUGCAGCCGACACUCUUAAAUUUGUGACACCCAAAGAUAAAUUAUGUAGGUAAAAGGGACGGGGGCGAGCAAAAGGGAAUAAUAAGAGAACGAAAUAAAUUAACGGAUUCACUUGCGCUCAGAUUUUUGUGAGAAGCAGACGCGAUUUUUUUUAAUGUUAAUGUUAAUGGAUUCAUUUUAUAAACAACAACUAAUACAACUAACAUUUAAGGUUAAUUGAACAUGUCCCAUUUUCCAACGCAAUUGAAACGAAGCUAGCCCAAACCCCUUAAGACAACAAGACGCUGAAGACUCUGGAUUUUUUUUUAUUUAAAUGCAUAAUUUAUAUAAGACAAUUUGAAAAAAAAAAUUAAUUUUAAGUAAUAAUAUAUGGAUAACAUAAUGUUGAUGAAAUGAGGACAUGAAAAACGACUAAAAGAGCGAUGAAAACGUACUGGAAAUGUGUGGGGGGAUU